UUGAACGCUGGCGGCAUGCCUUACACAUGCAAGUCGAACGGCAGCACGGGGGCAACCCUGGUGGCGAGUGGCGAACGGGUGAGUAAAACAUCGGAACGUGUCCUGGAGUGGGGGAUAGCCCGGCGAAAGCCGGAUUAAUACCGCAUAAGCUCCGAGGAGGAAAGCGGGGGAUCUUAGGACCUCGCGCUGCAGGGGCGGCCGAUGGCAGAUUAGCUAGUUGGUGGGGUAAAGGCCUACCAAGGCGACGAUCUGUAGCUG
rnacentral:rRNA from 1 species